rnacentral:rRNA from 1 species
GACGAACGCUGGCGGCGUGCUUAACACAUGCAAGUCGAACGAUGAAGCCCAGCUUGCUGGGUGGAAGAGUGGCGAACGGGUGAGUAACACGUGAGUAACCUGCCCAUCACUCUGGGAUAAGCGCUGGAAACGGCGUCUAAUACUGGAUAUGAACAGCGGCCGCAUGGUCAGUUGUUGGAAAGAUUUAUUGGUGAUGGAUGGACUCGCGGCCUAUCAGCUAGUUGGUGAGGUAAUGGCUCACCAAGGCGACGACGGGUAGCCGGCCUGAGAGGGUGACCGGCCACACUGGGACUGAGACACGGCCCAGACUCCUACGGGAGGCAGCAGUGGGGAAUAUUGCACAAUGGGCGCAAGCCUGAUGCAGCAACGCCGCGUGAGGGAUGAC